GACGAACGCUGGCGGCGUGCUUAACACAUGCAAGUCGAACGGAAAGGCCCUGCUUUUGUGGGGUGCUCGAGUGGCGAACGGGUGAGUAACACGUGAGUAACCUGCCCUUGACUUUGGGAUAACUUCAGGAAACUGGGGCUAAUACCGGAUAGGAGCUCCUGCUGCAUGGUGGGGGUUGGAAAGUUUCGGCGGUUGGGGAUGGACUCGCGGCUUAUCAGCUUGUUGGUGGGGUAGUGGCUUACCAAGGCUUUGACGGGUAGCCGGCCUGAGAGGGUGACCGGCCACAUUGGGACUGAGAUACGGCCCAGACUCCUACGGGAGGCAGCAGGGGAGAAUAUUGCACAAUGGGCGGAAGCCUGAUGCAGCAACGCCGCGUGCGUGAUGACGGCCUUCGGGUUGUAAACCGCUUUCGCCUGUGACGAAGCGUGAGUGACGGUAAUGGGUAAAGAAGCACCGGCUAACUACGUG
rnacentral:rRNA from 1 species